UACGUAGGGUGCGAGCGUUGUCCGGAAUCACUGGGCGUAAAGGGCGCGUAGGCGGCAUGCCAAGCGUGUGGUGAAAGCCCGGGGCUCAACCCCGGGUCGGCCGUGCGGACUGGCGUGCUCGAGCACUGUAGGGGCGGGUGGAAUUCCGGGUGUAGCGGUGGAAUGCGUAGAUAUCGGGAGGAACACCAGUAGCGAAGGCGGCACUCUGGGCCGGUACUGACGCUGAGGAGCGAAAGCGUGGGGAGCGAACAGG
rnacentral:rRNA from 1 species